rnacentral:piRNA from 1 species
GACAUGGGAUUUGGCUUGUUU